UCCGGAUUUAUUGGGUGUAAAGGGUGCGUAGACGGGAAGACAAGUUGGUUGUGAAAUCCUCGGCUCAACUGAGGAACUGCAACCAAAACUAUCUUUCUUGAGUGCAGGAGAGGAAAGAGAAUUCCUAGUGUAGCGGUGAAAUGCGUAGAUAUUAGGAGGAACACCAGUGGCGAAGGCGUUUUCUGGACUGUAACUGACGUUGAGGCACGAAAGUGUGGGGAGCAAACAGGAUUAGAUACCUGGUAGUCCACACCGUAAACGAUGGAUACUAGGUGUAGGAUGUGUUAAACAUUCUGUGCGUCGCAAACGCAAUAAGUAUCCCACCUGGGGAGUACGGCCGCAAGGUUGAAACUCAAAGGAUUGACGGGGGCCCGCACAAGCAGUGGAGUAUGUGGUUUAAUUCGAAGAAACGCGAAGAACUUACCAGGGCUUGACAUAUAGAGGAAUAUAUUAGAGAUAGUAUAGCUCUUCGGAGUCUCAUACAGGUGGUGCAUGGUUGUCGUCAGCUCGUGUCGUGAGAUGUUGGGUUAAGUCCCGCACGAGCGCAACCCCUAUUUCUAGUUGCCAGCACGUUAAGGUGGGAACUCUAGAGAGACUGCGGUGAUAAAUCGGAGGAAGGUGGGGACGACGUCAAAUCAUCAUGCCCUUUAUGUCCUGGGUACACACGUACUACAAUGGUCGCUACAGAGGGAAGCAAGAUAGUGAUAUGGAGCAAAACCUAAAAACGAUCUCAGUUCGGAUUGAAGUCUGAAAUUCGACUUCAUGAAGCUGGAAUUGCUGUAAUGGCAGGUCAGCAUACUGCCGUGAAUACGUUCCCGGGCCUUGUACACACCGCCCGU
rnacentral:rRNA from 1 species